rnacentral:rRNA from 1 species
AUUGAACGCUGGCGGCAUGCCUUACACAUGCAAGUCGAACGGUAACAGGUCUUCGGAUGCUGACGAGUGGCGAGCGGGUGAGUAAUACAUCGGAACGUGCCUAGUAGGGGGGGAUAACUACUCGAAAGAGUGGCUAAUACCGCAUGAGAUCUACGGAUGAAAGCAGGGGAUCGCAAGACCUUGUGCUACUAGAGCGGCCGAUGGCAGAUUAGGUAGUUGGUGGGAUAAAAGCUUACCAAGCCGACGAUCUGUAGCUGGUCUGAGAGGACGAUCAGCCACACUGGGACUGAGACACGGCCCAGACUCCUACUGGAGGCAGCAGUGGGUAAUUUUGGACAAUGGGCGAAAGCCUGAUCCAGCAAUGCCGCGUGCAGGAUGAAGGCCUUCGGGUUGUAAACUGCUUUUGUACGGAACGAAAAGCCCCGGGUUAAUACCCUGGGGUCAUGACGGUACCGUAAGAAUAAGCACCGGCUAACUACGUGCCAGCAGCCGCGGUAA